AAAUCUAAGAUAGUGUUGUACACAAGGAAGUAUUUCAUGUUGAGUCGUCUGACUCGUAGCCCAGAACAUGUAAUGCUUCAAUAACAGUCAGUGUGCACUUAAUACUGACAGAGACGAGAUACAGAAUGACUGACGACUAUAUUCUGGUGUUCGUACUGCUCAUACCCUAUACAGCAUGCAUAAGCGGUAAAGGACAAGGGGAGGAGUGUCGACAGACGUCCGAGUGUGUCAGCAAUGCUGAGUGUUGGGUCAACGUCUGUCAAUGCAACAUCGAGCACUACCCCUUGAAAGGACAGUGUGAACAACGUCUUCUCCCGAACAUGCCGUGUUCUGGCGAUAUGGAGUGCGUGGACGGCGCCAGCUGCCGUGCCAACUACUGCCAGUGCGACGACACACACUACCACGCUAAUACCUUUGACAAGCGGUGUGUGGCAUUGAGUGAGCUGUUCAUCCGAAACAUACGGUCGGUGACAACUACGUCGACAACAGCUGCGGUUACAUGGGCCACGCCUGAACUACCGCCUGUGGCAUCCACUUUCAAGUAUCAUGUCUUGUGUAACGGCAAUAGAAGGACAUUCAUCAAACCGUUCGAAAUCCUCGACUUAACUGAUCUGACGCCUGGAACGGCUUUCAACGUCACCGUCAGUGUCGCCGUAGAUGAGAACAGCAAGAUUAAGAUAGCACCACCAAGAACAGCCACCAUGCGAACUCCGCCUGCAGUGCCAUCCGACUUACGACAUGACUAUGACACAGCAUUCCUGUUCGUCUACUGGUCAGUCCAGGGUCACGCCGACUCCUUCAAUGGGUCACUGUGGUCCAGUUCCUCCACACAGAGAUUCACCACCCCAUAUACAAGCUACAUGUUCCCACGACCAAACACGACCUCAGUCCAGAUUCUCUGUGUGUCGGCCCGGAGCGGAGACCUUUACAGCCAGAUGGCCUGCUAUACAUUUCAUAUGGACACAACUGACGAUAUUGCGAUGACCACGUGGCAAUCGUCAGUGCCAACAUGGUCGUUGAUCCUGGCGAUGUUGAUGGCCUGCACCAUUAGUACCACUGCUCUUCUGAUUGGCUUUCGCUAAUCUUUCAUGGCGAAAGAAUUAUAUGGUCCCGAACUUCCAGGAUGUGUACUACAUAUACAUGCAGAUUCCGUCAAAAAUGGUGUUCCUGUGUCAGUGUGAAGGGAGGUAACUUUUACGACGUGAUCCAGUUCCGGAGAUCCAGGGUGACACUGGACUCCAGCUAUGACAGAGAAUACGA
rnacentral:misc_RNA from 1 species